AUAAAAUCGAUGAACGGAAAUAGUAAAUGCGCGGAUUGGUCAAAGCGAGUCGGGAUGGUGGAAGCCGAUACCUUAAGCGCAUUGAAUGGGUCCGGGAGAUGCGUGGUGAAUUUUAGUAGCCAUAGCCAGGGUUGGUCUCCUGUUAACAAAGACCGGGUAUAUAUGCUGGGCAUAUGUACCUUGAGUGAGGCACAGCCUAAUUGGGGUGGUACCGCGGAAGUAAAGCAUUUCGUCCCUUGC
rnacentral:ncRNA from 1 species